AUGCUCCUGAGGGCUUGGGUACCCUGUGGGCAAGAAGGAAGAAUCCUCCUCGAGGUUGGGGCUAGGACCACGCCUCCUCGAAGCACAGACACCAGCUGUCCCUUCGUUCAGCGAGGCAGUGCUUCCACUGACAUCCGCGGAGCUGCCCGUGGCUGCAGGCUAAGUCUCAGUUCUCCAACUUGCACAGAUUUCCCCGGAGGACUUGUUUCGACAGGUUACCUGCCCAGCCCUGGAGUUCCUGACCCAAGUGGAGAUGCCUGUGAGGGGCCGAAGCAGCCAUGCACGGCGGGAACACAGGAUGGAUGGUCUGGAGUGGGCAUCUUUGUUAUCUGUGGGGCAGGUCCUGGGAGAGCUGUGGCAAGUCAGGUGAGAAAACUGAGCCCUGCACAGAACCAGUGCUACCUUCGGCCAGCAGAGGGGAGCCUACACACCAGGGCUUUGUGCCUCUUUGUCUGCCAGCGGUCUUCCCAAAUCUGUUACGCGCUCCAAGGACCCCCAGCACAGGUGUCACUGUCCCUGUUUUCCAGAUUCUGCACACUGGCCUCAGAGAGGUUGAGAGUUGUGAGGGUGAGGACAGGAUUUAGACACAGCCUGAGCCCUCUCCUCUGACCCCACCAGGUCUUGGGGACCAGGUCUGGGGUGACGACUCUGAGGACCAUGGGAGCAUCGCACCCUGGGGGUAGUGGGCAAAGGGUUGUCACAAGGCGUCACCACAGCUGCUGGGGCAGGAGGACAGUGGCCCCUGCCCUGUGCCCUCCUGGUCUCUCCCUGGGCAGAGGCCCUGAUCUAAGGUCACCAGCCCACAUCCUAAACCAGGGCCAGAGAACGCCUGUCCAAGGUACAGCAGGUCCUUCUGGGGACCAGGUGAGCCCACAUGGCUGGGGAUGUGGCCUCUCCUUCAUCUCUCCCCUGGCAUCCCAUCCUCUCUUGUUACCCCUGAGGGACAGUCAGGUCUUGCCCUGGGGACUCUGGUCUGGGCAGGAACCCAGCUCCCCUUGAAGUCCAGGUCUGAGGCUAGGGUGUGGCCCUGUGGGGACCUGGGUGUUGGGUGGGUCGGAAGAGAAGGACCGAAGGCCUCUGAGCCUCUCUGACCCUUGCCUUCUUGAGAGCAGGCUCUGAGCACUCAGCCAAGCCUGGGGUCUGGCAGCGGG
rnacentral:lncRNA from 1 species